ACCAGGAAAAUGUUUGUUAGUUCAUUCUUUUGGGCAACAUGAGAGAUCACUAUGGCUGUCCUUUCUAAUCCUUGUCUAUCUCUCUUAACUCCCUUACCUGAUAAAGGAAACCCAUAGAAGGCAAUGAGCAAAUAAAGUUUUGGGGAUGUCUAGGUUCUCAUCACCAUCAGUCCUUUCAUCUUUAAAGCACCGUGUGUAAAAUUCAAAGGGUCUGAGAACUGCUGAAAUGGGCUCCCUCUGGAAUCUCUGAAGUAAGCAGCAUCUCUGCCUGAGAUGAGUAAGCCUUUUCCCCAGGCUUUGUGAACCCCUAUCAAAUGAUGAAAUCCAUGGAGGAGGUCACAUGGAUCUCAGAUUCGCAGCCUGACGGAUGAAGGUGGGGGUGACCUGGGGACCUGUGACUGGCGUCUGACAUGGUUACCUAGGUAUUUGACAUUGGACUGAGUAUAUGGCCUGCUAAAGCCUUCCUUUCCCCAUGUGACAAUGGAGCAAGACUUCCUGCUUUGCGAAGCUAUAAGGAUUCACAAUAAUGGC